rnacentral:lncRNA from 1 species
AGUUACUUUUGCUGAAGGUCAGAACCAAGGGAGAACUUCAAGAGCUCUAGCGUCCUGCACCAGAAGCCCCUGGGAGAUUAUCAAAAUGCAGAUCCCUGGGCUAUAUAUCAGGCCCAUGAAUAGAAAGUUCUAGACUAGGACCUGGGACUCCGUAACCUCUUAUGCAGAAGUCUACCAGUUUCCUCAGAUCUUGGAUAUUGAGCAAAUGGAGAAACAAAGAUGAAUAAGACACAAUCUCUGCCCUUAAGGAACCUGGUUUGAUGAAAACAAAGGGUAAAGGCCAUGAACUUAAUCUUUAGGGUGUCCUCAUCCUCCUACCAAGACGACAGCCAACACCUCACAAUGACAAAAGGAAAAUAACAAGACAGAGCAAAUCAUAGACCAGAGGUAA